AAAUCCGCUGACAAUUUGAAAAGAUGGAUGUGAAAAGUAUCAACAAUAAAACGAGCCCUUUCUAUAACUCAGCCAUCAUGGUGUGAGCUGCGCUGCUGAAUCGGUAAUGAGAUGUUGGAGCCAGGGUUAACUGUGGUAGUACUGCAAGAGGCCUGCUUUCGCCUCCAUGGGCACCAAACACAGGAGUGCUGGUGGGGCUGCUGAAGGACAAGCAAGCAACACUACAUAGAAAGAUCAUCUCCCGUUCACCAGUGGUGCCUACUAACAGUGAAGCCACCUGUUCCCUAAAUUAAAGUGAGGCAUGGCAACAAGUAUGGGUGUGCUGUGACCUGUGGUCUAACUGGUCUCUGAGACAGUGGAUAUUAAGAAGGAGAGAAUAUGACAG